rnacentral:rRNA from 1 species
AUGAACGCUGGCGGCGUGCUUAAUACAUGCAAGUCGAACGAGGAACUUUUGUCUUCGGAUGAGGGUUUCCUAGUGGCGAACGGGUGAGUAACGCGUUGGUGACCUGCCCUGAAGUGGGGGAUAACAGUCCGAAAGGACUGCUAAUACCCCAUGAUAUCAGCUCGGUUAGAGGCCUGCUGAUCAAAGGAGUAAUCCGCUUUAGGAGGGGCCUGCGUCCCAUCAGCUAGUUGGUAGGGUAAUGGCCUACCAAGGCUCUGACGGGUAGGGGACCUGAGAGGGUGGCCCCCCACACUGGCACUGAAACACGGGCCAGACACCUACGGGUGGCAGCAGUAGGGAAUUUUGGACAAUGGGCGAAAGCCUGAUCCAGCAACGCCGCGUGCACGAUGACGGCCUUCGGGUUGUAAAGUGCUUUUAGAGGAGAUGAGAAAGGACAGUAUCCUCUGAAUAAGCCUCGGCGAACUACGU